GAUCUGGCUCAGAACGAACGCUGGCGGCAGGCUUAACACAUGCAAGUUGAACGGGAUUUGUGUGGUGCUUGCACCAUAUAAUGAGAGUAGCGCACUGGUGAGUAACACGUGGGAACGUGCCUUUUAGUGGGGGAUAACACCUGGAAACGGAUGCUAAUACCGCAUACGCCCUGAGGGGGAAAGGAUUUAUUGCUAAGAGGUCGGCCCGCGGUAGAUUAGGCAGUUGGUGGGUAAGGAC
rnacentral:rRNA from 1 species